GGUGAGUAACACGUGGGAAACCUUGCCCAGAAGCGGGGGAUAACACCUGGAAACAGAUGCUAAUACCGCAUAACAACUUGGACCGCAUGGUCCGAGUUUGAAAGAUGGCUUCGGCUAUCACUUUUGGAUGGUCCCGCGGCGUAUUAGCUAGAUGGUGGGGUAACGGCUCACCAUGGCAAUGAUACGUAGCCGACCUGAGAGGGUAAUCGGCCACAUUGGGACUGAGACACGGCCCAAACUCCUACGGGAGGCAGCAGUAGGGAAUCUUCCACAAUGGACGAAAGUCUGAUGGAGCAACGCCGCGUGAGUGAAGAAGGGUUUCGGCUCGUAAAACUCUGUUGUUAAAGAAGAACAUAUCUGAGAGUAACUGUUCAGGUAUUGACGGUAUUUAACCAGAAAGCCACGGCUAACUACGUGCCAGCAGCCGCGGUAAUACGUAGGUGGCAAGCGUUGUCCGGAUUUAUUGGGCGUAAAGCGAGCGCAGGCGGUUUUUUAAGUCUGAUGUGAAAGCCUUCGGCUCAACCGAAGAAGUGCAUCGGAAACUGGGAAACUUGAGUGCAGAAGAGGACAGUGGAACUCCAUGUGUAGCGGUGAAAUGCGUAGAUAUAUGGAAGAACACCAGUGGC
rnacentral:rRNA from 2 species